rnacentral:rRNA from 1 species
GACGAACGCUGGCGGCGUGCUUAACACAUGCAAGUCGAACGAAGAGCGAUGGAAGCUUGCUUCUAUCAAUCUUAGUGGCGAACGGGUGAGUAACGCGUAAUCAACCUGCCCUUCAGAGGGGGACAACAGUUGGAAACGACUGCUAAUACCGCAUACGAUCUAAUCUCGGCAUCGAGGAUAGAUGAAAGGUGGCCUCUACAUGUAAGCUAUCACUGAAGGAGGGGAUUGCGUCUGAUUAGCUAGUUGGAGGGGUAACGGACCACCAAGGCGAGGAUCAGUAGCCGGUCGGAGAGGAUGAACGGCCACAUUGGGACUGAGACACGGCCCAGACUCCUACGGGAGGCAGCAGUGGGGAAUCUUCCGCAAUGGACGAAAGUCUGACGGAGCAACGCCGCGUGAGUGAUGACGGCCGUCGGGUUGUAAAGCUCUGUUAAUCGGGACGAAAGGCCUUCUUGCGAAUAGGGAGAAGGAUUGACGGUACCGGAAGAGAAAGCCACGGCUAACUACGUG